rnacentral:rRNA from 1 species
AUUGAACGCUGGCGGCGUGCUUAACACAUGCAAGUCGAUCGGUAACAGGUGUAGCAAUACAUGCUGACGAGAGGCGGACGGGUGAGGAAUAUUUGGGAGUCUGCCCAUCAGCGGGGGACAACCCGGGGAAACUCGGGCUAAUACCGCAUACGCUCUACGGAGGAAAGCCGGGGACCGCAAGGCCUGGCACUGAUGGAUGAGCCCAAAUCGGAUUAGCUAGUUGGCGGGGUAACGGCCCACCAAGGCGACGAUCCGUAGCUGGUCUGAGAGGACGAUCAGCCACACCGGAACUGAGACACGGUCCGGACUCCUACGGGAGGCAGCAGUGGGGAAUAUUGGACAAUGGGGGAAACCCUGAUCCAGCGACGCGGCGUGGGUGAAGAAGGCCUGCGGGUUGUAAAGCCCUUUCGGUAGGGAAGAAAUCUCUUGUCUUAACACGGCAAGGGUUUGACUUAACCUACAUAAGAAGCACCGGCUAACUCUGUGCCAGCAGCCGCCGUAAUAC